UCAUCCGCAAUUCAAAUCAGAGGAGGCGUAAGAUGGAUUCCAAUCUCGUGUUUGUGCGCCUCUGCGGCGGAACGGCUAUCACGCCUUCGAUGCGUAGCGCAUCUCGUUUCAGCCGCUACUGAUCCAAGGCUCACAAGCCCGCAAUUCCGCCAUUUGGCGAUCCCCUUUUUACCUGACGUGACCGGAUGACGGGGCGAUUGUUCGCAUUUUUGCGUUCCGCAUCCGCACGUCUCUGAUCCUCGAAAGGACCUGGCUGCGUCACUGCGCCGGGACGGACAGUCAU
rnacentral:sRNA from 1 species